AGGACGAACGCUGGCGGCGUGCCUAAUACAUGCAAGUCGAACGGUCUUUCUAUGGAAGCUUGCUUCCACUGAGAAGAUAGUGGCGAACGGGUGAGUAACACGUGGGUAACCUGCCCAUAAGAGGGGGGAUAACAUCCGGAAACGGGUGCUAAUACCGCAUAGUUUUCUUGGUCGCAUGAUCGGGAAAGGAAAGACGGCCUUUGUGCUGUCGCUUAUGGAUGGACCCGCGGCGUAUUAGUUAGUUGGUGAGGUAACGGCUCACCAAGACGAUGAUACGUAGCCGACCUGAGAGGGUGAUCGGCCACAUUGGGACUGAGACACGGCCCAAACUCCUACGGGAGGCAGCAGUAGGGAAUCUUCCGCAAUGGACGAAAGUCUGACGGAGCAACGCCGCGUGAGUGAAAGAAGGUUUUCGGAUCGUAAAACUCUGUUGUCAGAGAAGAACAAGUUGGAGAGUAACUGCUCCAGCCUUGACGGUAUCUGACCAGAAAGCCACGGCUAACUACGUGCCAGCCGCCGC
rnacentral:rRNA from 1 species